rnacentral:lncRNA from 1 species
AUGGGGGAAAUUUGGGGGAAAAUUGGGGAAAUUUGGGGGGAAAUUGGGGAAAGUUGGGGAAAAUUGGGGGAAAAUUGGGGAAAUUUGGGGGAAAUUGGGGGGAAAUUGGGGAAAAUAAUGGGGGAAAUUCGGGGGGACAUUGAGGAGAUUUGGGUGAAAAUUGAGGAAUUUGGGGUAAAUUUGGGGGGAAUUUUGGGGAAAAUUGGGAGAAAAUUGGGGGGAAAUGGGGGUGAAAUGGGGGGAAAGGGGAAAUUUGGGGGGAAAUUUUGGAAUUUGGUGGAAAAUGGGGAAAUUUUGUGGAAAAUUGGGGAGAUUUGGGGGAAAUUCGGAGAAAUUUUUGAAAAUUGGGGAAAAUUGGGGAAAUUUGGGGGAAAUUGGGGGAAAAUUGGGGAAAUUUGGGGGAAAUGGGGGGAAAAUUGGGGAAAUUUGGGGGAAAUUGGGGAAAUUUGGGGGAAAUUGGGGAAAUUUGGGGGAAAAUUGGGGAAAAACUGGGGGAAUAUGGGGGAAAAUUGGGGAAAAUUGGGGAAAUGUGGGGGGAAAUUGGGGGAAAUUGGGGGAAACUUGAGAGAAUUUGGUGGGAAAUUUGGGGGGGAAUUGGGGAAAAUUGGGGAGAUUUGGGGGAAAUUCGUAGAAAUUUUUGAAAAUUGGGGGAAAAUUGGGGAAAAUUGGGGAAAAUUGGGGGAAAUUUGGGGGGAAAAUUGGGGGGAAAUUGGGGAAAUUUGGGGGGAAAUUGGGGAAAGGGGAAAUUUGGGAAAAUUUGGGGGGAAAUUGUGGAAUUUGGUGGAAAAUUGGGAAAUUUUGUGGAAAAUUUUUGGGGAAAUUCAGAGAAAUGUCAGAAAAUUGGGGAAAUUUGGGGAAAUUGGGGGGAAAUUGGGGGGAAAUUGGGGGGAAAUUGGGGGAAAUUUGGGGGAAAUUUCGGGGAAAAUUAGGGGGAAAUUGGGGAAAUUUGGAGGAAAAUUGGGGGAAAUUGGGGGAAAAAUGGGGGGAAUUGGUGGGAAAUUGGGGAAAUUUGGGGAAACUGGGGAGGAAAUGGGGAGAAAGGGGAAAAUUUUUGGGGAAAAUUGGGGAAAUUUGAUGGGAGAAUUUGGGGGAAAAUUUGGGGGGAAAUUUGGGGGAAUUUGGGGGAAAUGUGAAGAAAAUUGGGGGGUUUGGAGGAAUUAA